AGGCUGAUUCAACCCCAAAUAAACCUCUGUUGUCGAUCCUGUCUGGUACUGACAAUGGGCAGAAGUUGUGUCUGGCUGCAGGGUUCUUCCCUAAAAAGGGGGCGAUGUCUCUGACAUUAGAAGGUGGAAACAGUGAAAAACGUGAUAUCAGCAAUGCUGCACUCUCCACAAGCAGCACAUAUUACUAUGCUGGCUCCUCCUCUCAGAGCAUCGAAAAAUGUGAGAUGGAAGGUGAGGAAACUACGGCAAAGGGUGAUGAAAAAGCUUCUCCAGAGGAAAAGAAAGAAGAUCAAGUAAUUCCUGACUGCAAGACCCCCACUAAUAAGACCAGAGUUACCACAUCCACCAUUGACCCUAAGGCAAACGCCAUGUCUCUGAUUGUGACGGCCGUCAGGAUCCUGCUGGCUAAAGCGGUUGCGGUAAAUGUGAUGAUGACCAUUAAAGCCUUUCUUGUCUGAAGCGAAAAAAAAAAAGAAUUUAAAUGUCUAUAUAUCUCUGUCAGGAUUUUGUCUAAUCCAACAUUGCUGAUCUGCAGUUAGUUUAGUUUUAAUAACUAGAAGAAAAUAAUCAUGCUUUUUUGCUUUUUUACGUUUAGUAUAAUUUAGGAACGCACAGAUAUGGGAAUUGUUGAAUUGUGACACAGAUAUUCAAUAUUUUGCAUUGGCCAACACUGUAUGUCCAAAUGUGUGGUCCAGCAGGCUAAAUUCUGCCACUAUGAUCAGGAGAUCAUUGGUUCGAAUCCUGUUCAUGUAGCUUGCCAUCAGCUGCCGGAGCCCUGAGAGAGCACAAUUGGUAUUGCUCUCUCUCUGGGUGGGAACAGUAGAUGUCACUCUUUCCUCUCAUCACUCCAAAGGGUGAUGUUGAUCAGCACAAGGCAUCUGUGAGCUGAUGUAUCAGAACCGAGUCGCUGCUUUUUCUUCCAAAUGCGCUGUGAUGCUACUCAGCAAUGCUACAGCAAUCAGCAGCCGUUUGAAAAGAGGCGGAGUCUGACUUCACAUGUAUCGGAGAAGGCAUGUUCUAGGCUUUACCCUCCUGGUUUUGGGGCAUCACUAGUGAUAGGACGAGUCCUAAUGAGUGGGUUGGGUAAUUGGCCAUGUAAAUUGGGAAGAAAAUGGAAAAAAAAUAUAGAAAUAAAAUUAUUACUUUUGUCA
rnacentral:lncRNA from 1 species